AGCGGAGGAAAAGAAACUAACUAGGAUUCCCUCAGUAACGGCGAGUGAAGCGGGAAGAGCCCAAAAUUGAAAUCUCCGUGGGUCAACCACGGCGAAUUGUAGUUUCGAAGUGUGUUCUGGUCACUGCCGCAAGUCUAAGUUUCUUUGGAACAAGACAUCGCAGAGGGUGAGAAUCCCGUGUGGCUGCGCGCAGUGGUCUCUAUGAGGCACUUUUGUAGAGUCGGGUUGUUUGGGAAUGCAGCCCAAAAAGGGUGGUAAAUUUCAUCUAAGGCUAAAUAUUGGCACGAGACCGAUAGCGAACAAGUACCGUGAGGGAAAGAUGAAAAGAUUAUUGAAAAAGAUGUUAAACAGUACGUGAAACCGUUAAAAGGGAAACGAUUGGAGCUAGCAGUGUUGUCGUCGUGAUCAAUCGGCAAGAGAUUGGCGAUGCUCUCAUGGCGGAAACAGGUCAACAUCGGUUUACUCUGCGGGAGACGGUUGUUCUCGUGCGCCCUGGUUGCGAGGGGUUCAGCUUUGCCGCGGGGUGGAUCGAGGUCAGAACCUUUGUGUUGUGCGGCCCGUUCUUGGGCUGAUUCCCUGUCUUUGGGCGUCGCAGCUGGCGUUUUACUGGUCUUCACGGGGCAGUUGCGUUGGCUCGGCGUUUAAAUUUGCGGGGUCUCGGUACUUACGGUGCCUAGGAUGUUGACGAAAUGGCUUCAACCGACCCGUCUUGAAACACGGACCAAGGAGUCUAACAUGUGCGCGAGUCUUUGGGUGUCAAACCCACGGGCGUAAUGAAAGUGAAUCGGUGAGAUCUUCGGCGCAUCAUCGACCGAUCUUGAUUUUUUUGAAAGAUUUGAGUAACAGCGCAAAUGUUAGGACCCGAAAGAUGGUGAACUAUGCCUGACUAGGGUGAAGCCAGAGGAAACUCUGGUGGAGGCUCGUAGCGGUUCUGACGUGCAAAUCGAUCGUCAAAGUUGGGUAUAGGGGCGAAAGACUAAUCGAACCAUCUAGUAGCUGGUUCCCACCGAAGUUUCCCUCAGGAUAGCUGGAACUUUUUGACAGUUUUAUCAGGUAAAGCGAAUGAUUAGAGGCCUUGGGGAUGCAAUAUCCUCAACCUAUUCUCAAACUUUAAAUAGGUAAGAGGCUCGACUUUCUUAAUUGAAGCCGGGCACUAGAAUGUAAGUUCCAAGUGGGCCAUUUUUGGUAAGCAGAACUGGCGAUGCGGGAUGAACCGAACGCAGAGUUAAGGUGCCCAAAUCAACGCUCAUCAGAUACCACAAAAGGUGUUGGUUGAUCUAGACAGCAGGACGGUGGCCAUGGAAGUCGGAAUCCGCUAAGGAGUGUGUAACAACUCACCUGCCGAAUCAACUAGCCCUGAAAAUGGAUGGCGCUUAAGCGUUGUACCUAUACUCUGCCGCUGGCGCAAAUGCGAGGCGCCAGCGAGUAGGUGGGCGUGGGGGUUGUGACGAAGCCUUGGGCGUGAGCCUGGGUCGAACGGCCUCUAGUGCAGAUCUUGGUGACAGUAGCAAAUAUUCAAAUGAGAACUUUGAAGACUGAAGUGGAGAAAGGUUCCGUGUGAACAGCAGUUGGACACGGGUUAGUCGGUCCUAAGAGAUAGGGAAACUCCGUUUCAAAGUU
rnacentral:rRNA from 1 species